UCUGUCGAGCUUGCUCACAGGCACAUCAUAUCCAUAACACCUGUGCACUUGUCGGAUGGCUUAGUGAAGACCGCAAGGUUGGAUCUAUCCAUCUACUUUACAUAACAAUUCUGUAACAAAUGUAGUCUUAUUAUAACAUAAUAAAACUUUCAACAACGGAUCUCUUGGCUCUCGCAUCGAUGAAGAACGCAGCGAAAUGCGAUAAGUAAUGUGAAUUGCAGAAUUCAGUGAAUCAUCGAAUCUUUGAACGCACCUUGCGCUCCUUGGUAUUCCGAGGAGCAUGCCUGUUUGAGUGUCAUGAAAACCCUCAACCCUAGAUUGGUUAAAACCUUUCUUUGGUUUGGAUUUGGACGUUUGCCGAUGAUAAGUCGGCUCGUCUUAAAAGUAAUAGCUGGAUCUGUCUCGCGACAUGGUUUGACUUGGCGUAAUAAGUAUUUCGCUAAGGACAUCUUCGGAUGGCCGCGUUGCAGGACUAAAGACCGCUUUCUAAUCCAUUGAUCUUACGAUUAAUAUUCUUGACAUCUGGCCUCAAAUCAGGUAGGACUACCCGCUGAACUUAAGCAUAUCAAUAAGCGGA
rnacentral:rRNA from 1 species